GUUAAGCCGCCCACUGUUGGCGUUACUACACUACAGGCAAGCCUAAUCUCAUCCCAAAGAUGGUAUCAAGGUUCUUAUUGCGCGGGAUUGGAGCUGGGACCCCACCCACCCGGGAGGGGCACGUCAUCAGCAGAUGACGCUCUAACAGGAUUCGAGCCUCCUGUACCCUGUCUACAAUACUUCUAGUAGCAACGCGCAGGGUAUUGAACUCCUUGUGAGUGGAUUCAAUGCCUUGCUCUCCAAAGAAGCCCAGGCCAAAGCCAUACCUCCUCAUCAGAGGCACAACAUGAGACUCAAGGCCAGGGGGAAGUCAAAGUCGUCCAUGAGCUCCUCUGCUUUGGUUACAGCAAUGCUGGUCAGCUGCUUGAUUGGGGCUUCCUGCAGAAGAUAAUUUCAGAUAA